UACGAAGGGGGCUAGCGUUGUUCGGAAUUACUGGGCGUAAAGCGUGCGCAGGCGGCUUCUCAAGUCAGGGGUGAAAGCCCAGAGCUCAACUCCGGAUCUGCGGUGGGUACGGGCAGACUAGAGUGAUGUAGGGGAGACUGGAAUUCCUGGUGUAGCGGUGAAAUGCGCAGAUAUCAGGAGGAACACCGGUGGCGAAGGCGGUUCUCUGGGCAUGUCCUGACGCUGAGGAGCGAAAGUGUGGGGAGCGAACAGG
rnacentral:rRNA from 1 species